rnacentral:rRNA from 1 species
UACGUAGGGUGCGAGCGUUAAUCGGAAUUACUGGGCGUAAAGGGUGCGCAGGCGGUUCUGCAAGUCAGGCGUGAAAGCCCCGGGCUUAACCUGGGAAUGGCGCUUGAAACUACAGGACUGGAGUAUGGCAGAGGGAGGUGGAAUUCCACGUGUAGCGGUGAAAUGCGUAGAGAUGUGGAGGAACACCGAUGGCGAGGGCAGCCUCCUGGGCCAAUACUGACGCUCAUGCACGAAAGCGUGGGGAGCAAACAGG